GAUGAACGCUGGCGGCGUGCCUAAUACAUGCAAGUCGAGCGAACGGACGAGAAGCUUGCUUCUCUGAUGUUAGCGGCGGACGGGUGAGUAACACGUGGAUAACCUACCUAUAAGACUGGGAUAACUUCGGGAAACCGGAGCUAAUACAGGAUAAUAUUUUGAACCGCAUGGUUCAAAAGUGAAAGACGGUCUUGCUGUCACUUAUAGAUGGAUCCGAGCUGCAUUAGCUAGUUGGUAAGGUAACGGCUUACCAAGGCAACGAUGCAUAGCCGACCUGAGAGGGUGAUCGGCCACACUGGAACUGAGACACGGUCCAGACUCCUACGGGAGGCAGCAGUAGGGAAUCUUCCGCAAUGGGCGAAAGCCUGACGGAGCAACGCCGCGUGAGUGAUGAAGGUCUUCGGAUCGUAAAACUCUGUUAUUAGGGAAGAACAUAUGUGUAAGUAACUGUUCACAUCUUGACGGUACCUAAUCAGAAAGCCCCGGCUAACUACGUG
rnacentral:rRNA from 1 species